AAGUCGUAACAAGGUAACCGUAGGUGAACCUGCGGUUGGAUCAUUAACCAAAGCAUGGGUUGCUUAGAAUCGCCUUACGUGUACACUUCCACUUUUUCACAAAAAGAGUGGAUGGUAUGCGUAUCCUUCGGGAACAUUGUGUGCACUGUUGUGUCUCUGGCGGCGGGGCNNNNNNUGGGUAUAUUCAAAGUAUGCUCCGAUAUUUGCCUGUCAGUCUGGUUGCAAAAAGCCAGGACCGUGGACAAACCGCCAAAUUAUUAAACAACUUAUAUUCUUUAACUUUAUGUCUGACAUCAUGUUUAUAUUAAAUUAUACAAACAACUUUUGGCAACGGAUCUCUUGGCUCUCGCAACGAUGAAGAACGCAGCGAAAUGCGAUAAGUAGUGUGAAUUGCAGAAUUCAGUGAAUCAUCGAAUCUUUGAACGCACACUGCGCUUCCUGGCAUUCCGGGAAGCAUGCCCAUUUCAGAAUCAUUAUAAUACACCUCAUCAUCUUUGAUGGUGGACAUUGGAUGGUUUGAUUGGAGUUCUUGGACAUCAAUCAAUCAUCUCAAAAUGAUUGUGCUGGCNUCNNNNNNNGUCGGUUAGCUGUUAAAGGUGCAAAAAGAUGAAUUUUUAAUUCGCUUCCACCUCUUAAGCUAUCCAUUUUGCAAUACUGGUGUUAUGCACUCCUAAUGACCAGGCUAUUCAGCUAAACUGGAUAACCUGUUAACUUGGUCUGAAAUUGGGCAAGAAAACCCGCUGAACUUA
rnacentral:rRNA from 1 species